GAACCAGCAAGUGAGAGAGGUUUUGAUCUUGAAGUUUCAGCCCAAAGAGGAAUUUGCCUCUCCUUCCAAUCCCCUCCGCCCCCAUCCAAUUUUUGUGAAGCAAACAGUUCUCUCAGAGGAGAAGUCCCACUCUUCUCUUCCCUCUUCUUCCCCGAACUUAGUUCUUGGCCCUUCUGGGAGGCAGGGCAAGCUCGGUGGCGCCCAGACCUCCCGCUUCUGGGUGCUGAAGACAACCACCACCGAUAACAUCAGUUGGAGCCCAGCUCUGCUUAAGCAGCCAAAGCGCGCUCCAACUUCGAUCUUACCGGAAAAUGGCACGAAUUCCUACACGGCUUUGGAGGCAGCGGAGCCACUAGGAGUGGGAACCUGCCAGCCCCCAUCCCACCUUUGCACGGAGGACAUGAGCAGACAGGCCCAGGAGGCGGCUAGAUCGCCAAAGGCCCACACGCCUGGCCCUCUGUGCUCACGAACGGAAACAACCUAGAGUCCUGGACCAGAACUCAGAGUCAGUGCAGGGUCGCUGGCAGCCACCAGCCGCAGCCCGAGUCUGCGCGGGCCAGGCCAGCAUUUCCUGUUGCCUAGGCGCUGAGCACGGGCUACCUGCUCCCCAGCGGGUGCCAUCCAGAGGUGCGGCAGCCCAGCCGCGGGCCUGCCAGCCGGGGUGGGCUCGGUCUCCCAGAAAAGCCCUGCAGGAACCCCCAAUCUCCCUCCCUCCCGGGGGCCCGUGCCGCCCCCUUCUCCCCCAGCCCCCCCUUCCCCCCCUCCCCCCAGGGGCCGAGUACCUGAGGGGGCGGGCGCCCUGCAGUCUCGCUUCCUGCCAUGUCCGGGCGAGGACGGCCCGGGUCCCCGGCACCCCCGGGCUCCCGGCGCACAGCCUCCCGAGGCGCAGCCCCCAGGGGUAGAUGGCCAUGGCUCUCUGCGCCCGCGUCCCGGCCCCAGGAAACUUUUAAAGUGGAAGCCAGAAGUCAGCUUCAGAACGGACACCAGUUGGUACCCCCUUCUCCCACGGGCAGCCUCCCACCCUGGGCCUCUGCCUCCACUCCCCCCCGCCCCGGCUCGCAGUGCACCGUGUAAGGUGGCAUCAGGGAUUGAAACCUGGGCUUCUCACCGCCAUCUGCCAACCCCAGCUCGGGCCCAGGGCCCCAUUCCGUUCCCUGUCCGAGGCGUGAAUGGAAAGCAGCAGUGGACAGAGGUUCAGCCCACCGCACCUGUUCCAUCUCUGGUCCUGGCUGGGAAAGGUGGCACCGGGCACCUGAGUGGCACAAGUGCCAGGUCCACACUGUCUCGACCCUUUCUCCAGAGGAGGAGGACAGCAAUGGGGGAAAUGUCCUGGCAGGGUGACCUCCCCGCUCCUGCCCCAGAGGAAGCAGUGAAAAUCUGGGCCAAGCAGAAAGGCUUUCCUGACUUCCCGGACACGAGUGCCAUGGAAUAACAGUCACCGAUUUCAGGAUAGCUUCCUCAAGCCAUACUCUUAAGAGACAUUAUCUCCCUUCACAAUCACCCCGCAAGGAACAGACAUGCCUUGGAAUAUGUCUCUGGUGUUAUGGAUGAAGAAACUGAAAGACGCCUGGCUGGCUCAGUUACUAACGCACAUGACUCUUGAUCUUGGGGUUGUAAGUUCGAGCCCCACACUGGAAGCAGAGAUUGCUUACAAAUAAAAUCUUUGCAAAAAUAGAAGAAAGAAAAAGAAACCGAGCCCCAGGGAGGUUCCGCUACUUGCCCAAGGUCAAGAUGAGCACAGUGAGUGCAGGCCAAGGCUCAGCCUGUACUCACUUGGUGGCUUUGGACAAGUCACAGGGCUUCUCCGGGCCUCAAGUCGUUAUGUUUAAAAUUGAGAUAAUAGGGGCACCUGGGUGGCUCAGUCAGUUAAACGUCUGACUCUUGAUUUCGGCUCAGGUCAUGAUCCCAGGGUGGUGAGGUUAAGCUCUGCGUUGAGCCCCAAGUUGGGCUCCCAGUUGAGUCCCGCAUCCGGCUCUGGCUCCACGCUGACAGCGCACAGCCUGCUUGGGAUUCUCUCUCUCUCCCUCUCUCUCUGGCCUUCCCCUGCUUGCACUCUUGUGCAUGCGCUCUCUUUCAACAUAAUAUAAUAAAAUGGGGACGGGGCACUUGAGUGGCUUAGUCGGUUAAGUGUCCGACUUCAGCUCAGUGAUUCAUGAGUGAUUCAAAAAACCUGGAGAUAACACCAGCCUCAUGCAGAGGGUUGGGGUAAGGAUUGGGUGUGGUGGCAGAGAACUAGCACUUGACCCUUUUUCAGUGAUUGUUACUUUCUUUCUCUAUCCUCUCCUUCUUCCUGUUGUCUACACUCUGAGACUUUCCUCUGUGUUCAGUGUUGCAAACCUUUUUUUAGCAGGAGGAAUUGUUUUUCAUCUCUGCAAAGCCUUGAAAGCUGUGGUAGGCACUGGUUCUGUAAAAGGGGAGAACGGUUGGGAGGAAAGAAAAUGCUAGUGCCUAAUGAGGGAACCCCUGAGUCUGUUGACCAGAAUUCUUGGGUCUCUUUGAGGGAGUGGUGAGCAGGGCAUAUUGCCAUCCAGUCCCUGCAACCAACUCAGUUCCUCACGGCUUCCCAAGGGGCUUUCUGCCCGAGCCCAGCAUGCCUGCUGAGUGCUGCACCUGACUUGGAUGGUUUAUGGUGCCUUGGUUUUGCUCAGGCCCCUGGCGACCCUGAGAAAGCCCUUAGUCCGCCCCCUUUGCCAAAAUCCUUCCCUUUGUGCUUCAAAAAUGGGCUCAAAAUGUAAACGUCACUGGGGCGCCUGGGUGGCUCAGACGGCUGAGCAUCCGACUCUUGAUUUCGGCUCAGGUCAUGAUCUUGCAGUUCGUGAGUUCAAGCCCCACGUGGGGGCUCUGUGCCGACAGCUCGGAGCCUGGAGCCUGCUUCGGAUUCUGUGUCUCCUUCUCUCUCUGCCCCUCUGUCUUGUGCUCUGUCUCUCUGUCUCUGUCUCUCUCUCAAAAAAUAAACAUAAAAAAAAAAAAGUGGCACAGGCAACCAGUCUGUGUUCGAAAAUAACAAUACAACUGUAUUAGGAGGAUUUGGGGAGGAGACAUGGCAGUGAGUACAAAUCCUCCCCUGUCAAACAGAAGAUCAAGAAAUGGCUGUAUAAGUAUAAUAUUUCGAGGCAAAUAACAGAAGAUAAAACACACGUGGUUAAAAUAGUUCAGAUCUGAACAGACAUUCUUUUAUUUAUUUAAA